UAGUGUUUCUAUUCCUGUGAAGAGACAUUAUUACCAUGGCAACUCUUAUAAAGGAUGACAUUUAAUUAGGGAUGGCUUAUAGUUCAGAAGUUUAGUCCAUUAUUGUCAUGGCAGGAAGCACAGCACAGUACAGACUGCCAUGGUGUUAGAGGGGUGCUGUGAGUACUAGACCUGGAUUCUGAGACCUCCAGAAGGAAUAGUGAGUCACUAGGCAUAGGUUGAGCGUCUGAAACCUCAAAGCCCAUCUCCUGUAACACAUACCUCCUUCCACAAAGCUAUACCUACUCCAACGAGGCCACACCUCCUAAUAGUGCCACUUCCUGUGAGCCUAUAGGGACUAUUUUACUUAAAACCACUACAUAGCCCAAAAGAAAGAAGUGUGCUACAGUCAAAAAAAGCUGAAAGGAGUUGGUGCAGAGUUCAUCUAGCUGGGAUUUUGGUAUUAUUUUAGUCCAGUAUUUCCUCACUAUGCUCCCUUUCCUCUCUUUUGAAACUGUAAUGUAUAUCCUGUGACAUUUUAUGUUGCAAGUAUUUGAUCUGCUCUUUCAUUUUGAUUUUAUAUGAUAUUAUAGUUAAGAGAUUGUCCGGAGUCUAAUAAGAGACUGGACUUUUAAACACAUUGAAUUUCUACAGAUUAUCCCUUCCUCACUCCCAUCCCCUAACUCAUUGUUUUGCCCCAAGAACCCCAACUCCAACAGGAACUCCCAGGGAGCAUGCAGGCCACUCUGACUAGGGAAGCAAGUGAGCUAACUGCAGAUUGUCAUCUAUUGCUCCUCUCCUCCAAAUCAAAUUCCCGAGUCUAAUCCCUAGCUCUGCAGCAGAAUACCUGUUGAGGCCUCUCCCACUUGCUUUGUGCCUAUGUCCAGUGGAUCUACUCUUCCUAACUUCCCCUGCUCACACACUCAUUGCUUUAUUCAAGCCCCCAAACUUAGCAGGCAAUCCUUGAGAAGCCUCAGACCACACCAGUCAGCUAAGCACAUAGGCAAACUGCAGAUCUUCCCAUCUUCUGCCUCUCCUCCAAAUUCAACCCCUCAGUCUCAUCCCCAGUUCUGUAGCAAGUGAUCUGUAGAAUCCACUGGAGUUAGGAGCAAGAUAGGAAGGAAGGACCCAAUAGGUGGCCUGCUACAGAGCUGGUGUGAGACUGGAACAUUGGAUUUGGAAGAGCAGAUGCAGAGAAGCAGGUAACUGUCAGUUGUCCAAAAGCAAACAUGAAAGAAUAAGGAAGACUCGUUGAGAAGACAAGUUCCAGUGGGAGAGAGAAAGCAAACUGCCUGUGAAAUGCCUGAGAUUUUUAAUCUAACUCCAUUCAACUCGCUACAGAAAAAAAGGACAGGACAUGCAUGUUUGGAUACAUGCUCUUUGAAAGCCUACAUGCUGUGUUAACUUCAUAGUGGUGUUGAUCUACAAGCUACAAGAUGCUUCAUGUUCCAAGAAGAUGUGUAUUGAGGAGUCUACCUGCACAUUCCUAUCACUAUGAAACAGCCUACCUUCAUGGCAUAUUCUUCAUGAUAGACUGUAGUCUUCUAAACUAUAAGUUGAAAUGAAGCUUUCAUAUUAAGUUGUUUCUUGUCAUAUAUCUGGUAAUAACAGCACAAUAACAAAAAUAACACCAGAAAUUGUUACAGAGCAGUAGAUAUUUUAUUAUGAUAAAACUGUGUAGUUCACAGGCAUGUUGAACUGCAUUUCUGGAGGAAUGUGAAAGAGUUAGAUUAUGUGGACAAGGGACCAGAGUGCUUCAAGCUUACUCUACUAAUGUUUAUAAUGUGAGUUUGAUAGAUAAGCAUGUCCAGCAAAGUAUGAACAAUUGAAGACAACCUCAUUAGAGUUCAACAGGGAAUAUGGACUCUACUGUGAGUAGGUCUAAGGUCAUUUGUAUUACAGUUUAAGCAGAGAAUCUGGUUGAAUUCUUCCAGUGUCCUGAAAACCUGAGUGGGACUACAUUCCAAAGAAAUGGUCUAAUUUGUAUUUCAGAAGAAAUUUCUACAUUGAUGUAUUCAGGUCAUGCCAAGACAACUAUUCAUUGCUUUUAUUGAGUCUACAAUAAGGGAAAGAAACUAGUAGCACAUGAAGAUAUGAAAAAUGUGUAGCUUGACAAGGAAAGCAUCAAUUUGAAGUUGUAGAGGAGUUGGUGCAAAAAAUAGUUGUAAUUGUUAAGGCUUAACAAUAUUGAAGUGAAACCUACUUCUGUAUAGUAAUAUAGUAUUAUGGUUGUCCUUCAGUCAAGAAUCUGCCCACUGAUGGUAAAAUGCAAAUCCAUUUCAAAAGAGAAAUCUUAAACUAAGAAUGUUACUGAAGGUGUUACCCAGGACAAAAUGAAUUACCCAAGAAAGAUUUGUCUCCAAUUUGGGAACCAAGACAUACAGAAGCUAUUAAAGCUUUGGUUCAGGAGUCCAGAAUCCAUAGCUGGUAAAAGUGUAAGAGUCUUGAAAGUUCUUAUCUAGGUUCUAUAAAUCCACAAAAGCCAGGCAAUAUAUUGCAGGCAUGAUCAGGUGGCUCUGGGAGGUCAUUGUGUGAAUUUAGAAGUACAUAACCUUAUUUGCAAUGGAAACUACAGGAUUUUGGAAAUGCCCAAGGCAAUGGGACUACUCCCCCCUGCAAAAAAUUUCAGGUGCAGAACAGAGUUGGCUUAAAAGAAAGAGAUGCUAACUUGCAUAAGUGGCAGAGUAAGAGGGCCAAGACUCCUUAAUGAUUUUGGAAUCCAGAUUCUUUUAUCAUGAGUUCAAGAUUCUGGACAUACAGCUACAGGUAUUGGUGACUGUCCAGAUGGUUUUUAUCUCAUUUUCUCCAUUAUAUUUCUUUCUAUACCCCUAUUCCUCUUUUUUAGAAUAGGAAUGUCUAUGUUUCAUUAUUUUAAAUUGGAAGUAAGCAACACUGAUUAUUUUUAUUAUUUUUGAUAUCUUACAUAAUAUCUUAUUGAUUAUUUGGGAAUUGUAUAUCACAAAGCCUGCACACACUCAUUUCUCAGUCCUUCCAUGUCUCCCCUCCACCCUUGUGACCCCCACAAUAAAGAACAAAAAGAAAAAAGUCCAUCUCACGGGAGACUACUUCCUAAAUACAACACCAAUAGUACAGAUACUGAAAUUGACAAUUAAUAAAUGGCUCUUCCUGAAACUGAAAAGCUUCUUUAAAGGCAAAGGACACUGCUGAUAAGAUGAAAGGGAAUUGUACAGAAUGGAGAAAGAUCUUUACUAACCCCACAUCUGACAGAGGGCUGAUCUCCAAAAUAUAUAAAGAACUCAAGAAACUAGACAUCAAAAUACCAAAUAAUCCAAUUUAAAAAUGGGGUACAGAUCGAAACAGAAUUCUCAGCAGAAUAAUCCUCAAUGGAUGAAAUACACUUAAAUAAUUGUUCAAAUUCCUUAGUCAUCAGAGAAAUGCAAAUAAAAAUGACUCUCAGAUAUCAUCUUACACAUUAUAGAAUGCCUAAGAUCAAAAUUAUUGGUGAUAGCUCAUGCUGGAGAGCAUGUAGAGUAAAGGGAACACCCCUGCACUGCUGCUGGGCAUACAAACUUGAACAGCUAUUUCAUAAAUCAAUACAGAUAUUUCUCAGAAAAAUGGAAUCCAUCUACCUCAAAACCUAGCUAUACCAAUCUCUGGCAUAUAGACAAAGGAAGCUCAAUCAUACCACAAGGACAUCUGGUCAGCUAUGUCCAUAGCAGCAUUAUUUGUAAUAGCCAAAACCUGUAAACAUCCUAGAUGCCCCUCAAACUACGAAUGGAUAAAGAAAAUA